rnacentral:rRNA from 1 species
UACGUAGGGGGCGAGCGUUGUCCGGAAUUAUUGGGCGUAAAGAGCUCGUAGGCGGCUUGGCAAGUCGGAUGUGAAAACUCCAGGCUCAACCUGGAGCCGCCAUUCGAUACUGCUAUGGCUAGAGUCCGGUAGGGGAGUGUGGAAUUCCCGGUGUAGCGGUGAAAUGCGCAGAUAUCGGGAGGAACACCGAUGGCGAAGGCAGCACUCUGGGCCGGCACUGACGCUGAGACGCGAAAGCGUGGGGAGCGAACAGG